CUGCAUAUAAUACUUACAUAACAAUUUAUUCCAGCAGCUCAUAUGGAAGGCAUCCACAAACUAUAUAAUGGUGUUUUUUUUGUCAUUGUGGUUGGAGUUGAAGGGGUGUUUACAUGUUUUUGACAUAUUUUUAUGCAAAUUAAUUGGCACCAUCCGACCAAAAGCAUUUAGGCAAACUAUUUUCAUUACUUGCUCCAGAUACUUUGAUAAUCACAUGUAAAAAGACGAUGUAUUGGUUCAAGCUAAUAAACUAAGAGAAUGUUCAAAGGCUAAAAAAAUGACUAGAUGAGAAUUAGCCUUAUAGAGUUGUCUAAUAGACACACUGAAGUAGAAUCAAGAACAUCACAUACACGAGGUUGAUUCAGGAUAUGUACAACGAAGUGGAAUACUCGUGGGUGAGGAUGAAGGAGUUUAUUAGCCUUGGUGAUGUAUGUUUUGAUGUGGCUUAUUCAAGGGGGGUGUCUUGGUGAAUGUGCUGACGACGAGACCAGAGGAGGAGUUAAUGAUAAACUGACAGACUCUAGAGUCUAAAGGGUUUAAGGUUGAGCAGGAUCAAGAUGGAGUACUUGGAAUGUAAGUUCAGUGAUUCGAUGCAUGAGACUGAUGUGGUAGUGGAGUUGGAUUUUUAGGCUAUUUGAUGAGGAUGGAAUGUGGCAGCUUUGAGAGGCAACUAUGCUAAAUAGCGCAGACGAAACAGAUGCUAACCUUUCCUCGCUCUUACGUGAUUGCAGGUCCCUUCUUCGUCAGCUGGGUAGUCCGGAACUCAUUCACAUCUACAGAGCGCACGCUAGAAUAGACUAGCUGACAACCUAGCAAGAUGAGUCAUCUCUAUUGCACACCCAUCCAAUAUAUCUACUAGUUUUGUGGCCUAUAGGAUGCUGUUACUUUUUGGUCGCCUCCUCCAGACACGAUGGAUGUUUUGAAUGCAGAUAAAAGAGGAGACUUCGCUACUAGACGCGUUAAGACUGUGGGAGUUUUACUGACUAGUACUUCUGUACGUACUCCUAGUACUGCUUUGUUAGGAACUAUUGGAUGGUCUGUAAAUAUUGCAUAAUGGGCAGAUACUAUGAUGAUAGUGCUACCAAA